UACAGAGGGGGCAAGCGUUGUUCGGAAUUACUGGGCGUAAAGGGCGCGUAGGUGGCCUUCUAAGUUGAACGUGAAAUCCCUGGGCUCAACCCGGGAACUGCGUCCAAGACUGGGAGGCUUGAAUCCGGGAGAGGGAUGCGGAAUUCCAGGUGUAGCGGUGAAAUGCGUAGAUAUCUGGAGGAACACCGGUGGCGAAGGCGGCAUCCUGGACCGGUAUUGACACUGAGGCGCGAAAGCCAGGGGAGCAAACGGG
rnacentral:rRNA from 1 species